rnacentral:lncRNA from 1 species
GGAGAAGGGUGAAGGCCGGGCUAGUAGUCGCUGCCCGCUGGGCAGCAUCUGGAGGCCCGUGCGGGAUGCAGGCGAGGGGGAUGGAGCGGCGCCGCUGGAGGAAAUUGGCUUCCCAUGGGACCUGCAACUGUCUGGAAACAAAAAAAGAAGCCUACCAAAAGGGGAAAUUUAAAGGAGAGCAAGAAACCAUGAAGAGAGAGCCGAAAACGCGAAAGUAAAGAGUUGCCCAACUUAUUUAAAAGCAUGCGUAAUUUUGCCCGGGAGUUUCCGCAGCGUACUCUAACUUUUCUCCGCCUGCUUCCUUGGACCCAAUUUUCUUGUUCUUAUUCUGGAAGGUUUUUUUGUUUGUUUGUUUGUUUGUUUUUUGUUUGUUUGUUUUUUAACUUGACUUUACUUUGCCUGGGAACUGCACGUUUGCAUACUCCUGCAGGCUCUCUACCCUUGGCAAUGGA